ACACUCGAGCUGCAGACGUGCUGCUUCAUGUCUCUUCUCUGACUGAACAUCUGUGGAGAGAACUUUCACAACUCUGAUCUCGGCAUCGAAGCGU
rnacentral:snoRNA from 1 species